rnacentral:lncRNA from 1 species
ACCAUUGUCUCAGUUUAUGCAGCAAAAUGACCACUCCCUCCUCAUUCCAUUAUCAAUGGGUCUCCAAGUCCUUUAAAAUUCCAAUCUUCUCAAUUCCUUUCAAGUACCCCCCUCUUCUUCCCAUCUGCAUUUUUCACAAUAUUCAUUUCACAGACAGGAGAUAAAUGAAUAAAGAGCCCAUGUAUUCCCCAAUUACAGCUGCAGGUAAGUCUCCAGAAAGAACUUCAAUGGAAUGCGGAUCAUCAGACGGCUAUUGAGAUGAUUAAAUGAUUUAAGAAAAACUUGGAAAGUGUCUUUAAAUGCAAACGUAAGACAUUGUGAUGUUUUUAUUCAGGCCAGGGAAAAAAAAAUUAGUAACUUAAUGGCAAGCUGUCACUUGAAAUUACAGCAACACGGUAUCAAGGUAUCAAAAAACAUCCAGGAGUAAACCACCUGAUCUAAAUCUAGUCACAAAGAUGGCCUGGUUCAUGGCCAGCUAAGGAAAAGGGGCCCGGGUAACUACCCAGACCUUCAGCUGGGAUUCCCAAGGGCUAAAUCAAAGCAGUACACAUAAUAGACCAGAAACCCAGCAGCCCUCAUGCAGACUCAAGGCUACCUUUGGAAGAACUUAAUUCCCACAUGUAUCUAGGUGUUCUGUCUUCACCCUGCCCACCUCCAGGAAGAAAAGUAAACAGAAGAAGGUAUCACCCAGAGCUCAGUAUUAUCGCUAUGCUUUUAAGAUGCAGUGCCCAGCAUUCAUCUAAAAUAGUCACGCUUAUAAAACUAAGAACUAACCAAAAAUUUAAGAAGGGCAAAGAAACAAUAGAAACAGACCCACAGGAAAUUCAGGCAUUGUAGUUAUCAGAUGACUUUAGAAUAACUGAUUAGUAUGUUUAAUGAAUCAUCCAAAGAAUUUCAGGGUGAAGUGAAUCAAAAAGACCUAAUUUAAAAUAGAAACACUGUAAGAAAGUAUUCAAUAUAUGGGUUUAACGGCUUACCAUGUAUACCUGAAUGGAUAAAAUGAAGUGGAUGCUACGUGAAGAGGAAGUAUCCAGAUUAAAGCAUCAAGAAAAAAGCUGGAAAAGCAACAUAUGAAACCCAAGUUAAUAUACAUGUAAUUAGAAUAGCAGAUGACAGAAGAAAAUGGGCUAAAAGCAUUAUCUGAAGACAAUGACUGGAAUUUUCCAAAACUUAUUUUUAAACAACAACAAAGCCAAAGGUUCAAGAAGUGCCACACAUUGAGUUAGGUAAACCCAAGGAAAUUCAUACCUAGACCAUUAUAGAAAAACUGCUGAAAACCAAAGACAAAAAAACCAAAACCUUAAAACUGCAGAAACACAUAGUGAACAUUAUUAAAGCUGAAAGGGUGGCAGAGGUAGAGAGUUAACAGAGGAGACUGUUUUCGAAUGGCAAAAAUAAGACUAAAGAAUCAGGGCAGCCAGAAGACACAAUAUCAGACAUGCUAUUUUUAAUGCACUGAAAGUAAUUUCCAAGAAUUCUGUACCCAAUGAAAACACCCUGCAAAAAAGAGACAAUAUAAAGUCCUUUAUAUACCAUCUGAGGAAUCUUAUCACCAGGAGACCUGAACUGAAGAAAUUCUCAAAGGAGCUUUUAAGGCAGAAGGGAAACAAUUCCAGGUGAAAGCACGUGGUAUAGUGAGUAUUUUAAAUAGAUCUGAAAAUAUCAGAUUGAAAAUCUAAAGAUUUAAGAGUAUCUUUAAGUCAGUGAUCUGUUCACAAUAUUUGUUUUAAUGACUUGAAUGGCAUAAGAUAUUGAAAAUAAUGGACUUAUAAAUAUGUUAAGCAUUGAAGUUUCCAAAAUAUACCCCCAUAUACCACAAAAACUAACCAAUUCACCUUUACCGAAAAGCUCAUUAUGACUUGGAGCUGUGUAUUUACCUACAUUUGCCCUUCAACUACCAUGUAUUCCCAUCCAUCCCUUUCUGAACCAUCAAAAUCUGUUUUUCCUUCAAGACCCAUUUUUUAAGUUUCCCUAACAAAACGUUUAUCACCUAUUACGUGCCGCUUUCGAUUGAUUGUGCACCUGGCACUAUAUUGGCUUCUAGGGCAGGAAGACAGAAUGUAACCAUUGUCUUCUCAGUGUAGAGGUUAUCUGGUUAUCUUUUCUGACUGCACACAACUGAAUAUAUUCUCUCCCUCUUCUAACAGGGAAAACUUUUAACAGACAUUUGUUUUUGUUGGUUUUUUUUAAAGUCAUCGCUAACCCCCAAACUGAGACUCUUGCAUCAAUCAUCUCCCUACAUCAUUUAGCACAAGAGUUCUGCACACCAGGGCCUUUACACACAUACCCACUGAAUUAAAUCUUGACAAGAGGAAGCAGUGGGUACCAGCUCACAUCAGAGUUUAGUAGAAACAAACAAAAUCCUUCAUUUAAGAUUUUUUAAAAUGAACUGCAUAAGCAUUGAGUGGGAAAGCCCUGACUUGUCAUAUGAACAGAAUACCUUAACAUUUUAGCUAAUAAAAAGCUUGAUAUAUUGCAAAUGUAUUCUGUAGAUGGACUCUCACUCUUAGAGGCUAGAGCAGACUUAGUACACAUGAAGCCAUCUUGCCACCCCAACACCUCCAGAAACCUAAAUUCCCUAAUGGGUCUCAAAAUCGAUAUUCAACAGAAACCUUCUUAGCCAUUCGGCAUCUCAAGCACAGAUAAAAACUGUACUACCAACUCAUCGUUCCCUGAGCUUUGAAAUAAUGUGACUUUUGCCCAGGUUUCCGCCACUUCCCAGAACAAUUUUGAAUGUUCUUCACUUGUGAAGUUAAACUUUGUGUUCUAGCUUCCUUGGUUAUUUUUUUAACCCUUGAAGGAUUAAAAUUGUUCGACAGGCAAGUCUAGAUUUUACCACAUGGUGUUCUGAGCCAAAACAAAAUUCACUGCAAGGUCUGGACAUUUGAAGUCUCACCUCCCUUGUUAAUUCUGUAACUCAAGCUUCGAAAAAAUAUCAUAAAACCCCCUCUGUCUGACCUGGCACUCUGUGAUACAGAACCGGAGUAAUAUCACUUCUUUCUCUCACCCCUUUAAUCUUUUCCAAAUGUUGUUCUUAGUGCUUCUACCUUCAAUUGGACAGGUGUUGUUUUGUUUUUAAAUACAGACACCUAUCUCCUUAAUAAAUACAAGAGAAUGGAUAUACUAGAGUUUGACGGGACUCAGGUGUACAUUCAGACAUCAUUAGGUCUCAACCGCAGUUCUACUGCUCAAUGUCUACAUGGUGUUGGACAUGUUGUCAAGAUGCUUAAGUUUUUGGCCUCAGUAUCCCCGUCUGUGAAAUGGGGCUAAUGAUAUUAAGUUCUAAAAAUUGUCUUCAGAAUAGCGAUAUUGGAAAUCUCUGAACAUGGUACCUGAUAUGACAGAGAGAUAUAUACAUACACACACAAACCUGUUUAUAUGCUCUUUCUAUCUGCUGUCUUGCCAUUACCCUAUCUAAGCAGUACUUCCGUUUCAGUGCUGCUAUCCCAAUCAUUGCUUUGCCUCUCUAGGCUAAUUUUGAAUUCCCUUAUUCUCCAGCCAUAACCUGAAUUCAGUUUCAGUCUCUGAGUCACUCCUAUUCAUCUCUUUCCCCUGAUAUUUCUGCUAAGAAUUACAGGUAUGCCUUCUACGGUGGUUGUUGAUUACACAUCAUUCUUACCAUCAUCACCAUUCUUAUCGUUUCCUUACGGCAUCCCACCCCCAACGACAACGCCAAUGUUGGCUUAUAAUCUUGAAGAGCAUAUUGAUGUUCCUUUUUAACAUGUAUUCUGCCUGUUUCUUCCUAAGAUGCAUUCCACCCACACCUGUGACUCCAUUUUUAUGCAGAAGCCCUGGUCUAGAAAAUCAUCCUGUUUUGAGUAUCAUUUACAAAGGCAGUUGUUACUUUCAUACAUUGUCUUUUACAAAAAUUAUAAUAUUGACUCUCCUUCUACCUUCUCUCUCAAAAAUCCUCAAAUGACUUUGGUCGCCCCUUAACAAAGCCCACAUUAUUCUAAGGCAAAAACAAGAAGGUCUUUUCAACUACAAAGCCUUUUAUAUUGAGAGCUUUCUUCAGGCUGGGUUGUGUUAAAAGCACUUUACAUGUAAGAAUGUAUCAAAUCUCAAAACUCCGUGCAGUACAUAACAUUAUCAUCCCCAUGUAAUAAAUCAGGCACCAGAUACAGCAAAGAACUAAAAAUGAUUAGAGAACACCUAGUUAAUAAGUGACAGAGCAGGCACUUAGACCCAUGUACUCUAGCACAACUCUUUUAUAGGUGACCCCAAAGUCACCUGUGAGCUUGAAGCUGGUUGAGUCAACACGCUCCCUGUACAAUGCUGGGGUGACAAGAUGUCAGCUCAGCCCUGAGCUCCAUAUCAGUGAACGUGCUAAGGAAGCAGGGUUCUCGGUAAGGAGUGAGCCAGGAGCUAAGGUUUCUUUGAAAAUACCCAAGCUGUCCCCUCUGAGGCUCACCCCCCACUCAGCACUCCAGCCCUGCUUGGGAAAAUGUGAGGGGAUGAUAGGGUUUCUAUUUCUCACACGGCACUUUUUCAAGUUCAUGAGUAGCCUAGAAGCCUGAUAAAAACACUUCUUUCUCCAAGAAGCUUGCACUCUUAGAAUCUGUCUGUGACCUACACCACAGCUCAUGGGAACACCGGAUCCUUAACCCACUGAGCAAGGCCAGGGAUUGAACCCACAUCCUCAUGGAUACUAGUCGGGUUCGUUAACUUAUACUAAGCCACAAUGGGAGCCCCCAGACCUAUUUCCUGACUUGGGUGGGCGGUAAACACAUUUUCACUUUGGGCCAGGUAUGUUUAUAUACUGUAUGUUUUCCUGUAUAUAAGUUAUAUUUUAAUCACAAUUUUUAAAUUAUAUCUAUUUAAGCUCUAAAACCACAAACAAAAAAUUUUUAAGUAUUUUAGCAUUCAUCUACAAAUUUAACCAUCUAAUGAUACUAUUAUAAUUGAGAGGAAGAUCUUAGAAAUGUCUUGCUAUUUUAAAAUAUUAACUGAGCUAGUACAUAAAACAGAAGCUAAGAUCUUCAAAGGUCCUUAAAUGGCUUAACUUUCUGCCUCCCCCAAUUCACACACCCAAGAUCCAACAAACUCAGCCACUUACCGUUGGCUGAACAUAAAAUAUUUUCUCACACCUGGAAUGCCCUUCAUCUAAUUCAUUCAACAAAUAUUUAGUCAAGAAGCAAAGCUGAACAAAACGACAGUCUUUGUGGAGUGGGAGAAAGAUAUCAUUCAAAUAAUCACGCCAAUUACAUCAAAGCAGAGCUGUGACGACUGCUCUGAAGAAAAGGUACUUGAUGACUGAGCUCUUCUCUUGGAAAGGAUGUGACUUAGAGAAGUCAGACUUGCCUAAGGAAGUAAUGGGGGACCCCGGAUCUAAAGGACUGAACCAGGGAAGAGGGAUGGGAGGAGCUUUCCAGGCAGAGGGAAAUGACUGUGCAAAAGCCCUGGGGUCAAGAGUUGGCUCAAGAAUAGGAGAAGCCAAAAGAAGGCAACUGCUUUCAAAAUGCCUCCUCUUUCAUCGCAUCCUGCUCAAAUAUCACUUCCUCUGUGACACUGUUCCCUCCUCUCCAUUUUCACUGUAAAUGGAUAUACUCCUCAUACCAUUAUAGCCUUCCUUUUAUCCUUCUGUUAGCACUUAGCUCACUGUAUUGCAAUUAUCUGUUUAUACAUCUGCCCCCCUCCCUAGAGUGAGAAUUCAUGGAGGACAAGAGCAAUAAAGCAUUAUCUCUGUGUCUCUCUGCAUACAUGGGCAAGCAUAGUUUAAAUGCUCAGUAAGUGUCUGACGAAUGAAACAACGGCAGAACCACGCCAUGCGCGCCCAGACAUAAACAUUUUACCUUCAAACUGUGUUAUAGCAUCUUUGUGAGUUUACAUCUUUCGCAGACUCAGAUGUAAAGUAGCAACUUUUAUAAGGUCUUUCCCUCUUCCCCCAACCUUCAUGAAUCAUAAGGUGUUAUUUACUUAAGCAUCAAAAACAGCUGCCCAGACUUUGUUAGCACAACGUAAUUCAUUUUAUAAAUAUCACACAAUUAUCUAAUUUCUAAAAGUCUCUGCAUUGCUUUGAAAGGUGCUAUUUUGGAAACAAGUCCUGGCCCAUCCUAGGGAAAUUCCCAAACCAGCAUUGUCAUUGCUAAGUAUAUCUACAGAAGCUGGGCAGGACCAGAGGGGAAGCAGAAAUGCACGGCUCCUCCACGGCCACUCAGAAGGCUGCCAGCCUGCUGUGGGAGGGGUCUGCACACCCCUGGUCAGGGCUGCAGUCACCUGGCCCACUUGCAUUAACAGGUAACAAGAGCACAGCUACACCAACAUUCGGCUUGCCUCUAUCAGAAGCGACUGGCAGCAGCUGCCUGCCUGCCUUUGGAGAACUGGGCAGCAGAAGCCAUGGUGAGGAAUGAACAGAGGCAGGCUUGUUCUGCUGGCCUUUUUGCUGAGCCCUCCACACGGGAAUCGCAGGCUCUGAGGUUUUCCUUACAUGGUGUCAGCAACCCCACUGCAGACUCUCCUCCCACCUCCCAACCCCAUCCCACCCUUUUAGGGAGAGGAAAAACAGUGAAAUCAAGAUUAG